rnacentral:lncRNA from 1 species
UAAACAUGAGUUGUCUUCUCAUAUUUAAUUUCGUUGAGGCAUUCAAUAUGUUAGUUUAUUCGUGAGUUUUUUCGUAGAAAUUAUUUAUUCUUAGGGACUUUUCGGAAACGUCAAGAUAUGAACGGAGAGACAUGUUUUAGGAUCUCUUAUCAUUUAGAUAUCAUGUCUUAAGAUGUCUGAGACCAAUGCGCUCGGUGAUUGUCGCCGUGCUGACCGCCUUGAUCGUGAUGACCGUGGCCGGGUCAGCGUUCUCUUACGAAUGAUCCUGUUGAGUAGUAGCGGCGGCUUCGGACUCGUGCUGAGUAUCGACACCCGAAGCGUUUGCGUCAGCAGACGAUGUUAAAUCGUCUUUUCUUGAAACGUUUUUGGUCGAAGAUUUGUCUAUCUUCGUGCGUUUGGGAUUUUUUUUCGUAGCGCGCUUUUGUCCUUUUGUUGGACGUUCGAAGAUCAAAAGAGUGAUCAAGUUGCGUUUGUUUAAGACGGCUGAUGUGUUCGUCGGGGCCAAUCGACGAACGGAGUGUAAGGUUUUGUGGUCGCGUUCGGACAAUUUGUUUGUAUCGUCUUGACUUUUAACUUGGCGACGUCUCGCAGUUAUUUCAAAGACUAUACGU